AGCAGGGUCCGACUAUGGACAAAAACAAACGAUAAAAGAAUGAUGUCCAUCCUUGCUAUCCCAGGCUGCUGGCCUGGAACCCAUCCUAGAUCGAUGAUGAAGAAGAAGAAACUCCAAAUAGAACAAUCAUUGCGCUCAUGUCAAAGUAUCGCUUUACAUGUACCUGCAACUUUUGUUGUAGUAAUCUGUGAGCCACACAAACUAAGC
rnacentral:lncRNA from 1 species